UAGUGCCACUAAUGUGUAUCCUUCAGCUAGUACUCCUUCCGGUGACAAAUCACUCGCCGAUGGGGUGGGCAUUAAUAAGAGUUUUAAAAUGGAGGAUUUAGGACUCGUCUGGGAGACGGUAGAAUCACUGCAUCACUUCUUAUAUCCAGAUGGUUGUCAGUUGUAUGCUCCUGAGAGGGAGCCAGCCUGUGUUCCUCUUGUCCUUACUAAUAUCCUUGGUACUUGUACUUAUGCAAUGGCUAUCAAGUUCACACGUCCAUUCUUCAUUGAAAAGGUCACAGUCUCAUGGUAGAAGGAGUAGAUCAGGUUCAAGAGAAGUGAUGAUCCCUCCCCUCUACUAGGAGAUCAACCAGUUCAUGAGAAGGUCUCUCUCUCCCUCUCCAUUCCCUCCAGUUAGGUGUAACACUCAUCAGGAUAAGCUGGUCCAGUCAAAUGAGCAGCUAAGAGUUGAUGGGGAGAUAUGGAGGGAGGACAAAGACAAUCAACUGAAUUAUCAUAUAUUGUAUUGGAAAUUUUUAUAAUGAAACGAAACUAGAAAUCCAAAACAUCACAAAUAAUGAUAAUAAUAUGUA